AGUGAACGCUGGCGGUAGGCCUAACACAUGCAAGUCGAACGGCAGCACAGUAAGAGCUUGCUCUUACGGGUGGCGAGUGGCGGACGGGUGAGGAAUACAUCGGAAUCUACUUUUUCGUGGGGGAUAACGUAGGGAAACUUACGCUAAUACCGCAUACGACCUACGGGUUAAAGCAGGAGAUCUUCGGACCUUGCGCGAUUGAAUUAGCCGAUGUCGGAUUAGCUAGUUGGCGGGGUAAAGGCCCACCAAGGCGACGAUCCGUAGCUGGUCUGAGAGGAUGAUCAGCCACACUGGAACUGAGACACGGUCCAGACUCCUACGGGAGGCAGCAGUGGGGAAUAUUGGACAAUGGGCGCAAGCCUGAUCCAGCCAUACCGCGUGGGUGAAGAAGGCCUUCGGGUUGUAAAGCCCUUUUGUUGGGAAAGAAAAGAAGCAGGUUAAUACCCCGAUGUUCUGACGGUACCCAAAGAAUAAGCACCGGCUAACUUCGUG
rnacentral:rRNA from 1 species